rnacentral:rRNA from 1 species
CCCUUAGAUGUCCGGGGCUGCACGUGCGCUACACUGACUGGCUCAGCGUGUGCCUACCCUACGCCGGCAGGCGCGGGUAACCCGUUGAACCCCAUUCGUGAUGGGGAUCGGGGAUUGCAAUUAUUCCCCAUGAACGAGGAAUUCCCAGUAAGUGCGGGUCAUAAGCUUGCGUUGAUUAAGUCCCUGCCCUUUGUACACACCGCCCGUCGCUACUACCGAUUGGAUGGUUUAGUGAGGCCCUCGGAUCGGCCCCGCCGGGGUCGGCCCACGGCCCUGGCGGAGCGCUGAGAAGACGGUCGAACUUGACUAUCUAGAGGAAGUAAAAGUCGUAACA